rnacentral:misc_RNA from 1 species
GAUGAAGAACGCAGCGAAAUGCGAUAAGUAAUGUGAAUUGCAGAAUUCAGUGAAUCAUCGAAUCUUUGAACGCACAUUGGGCCCCCUGGUAUUCCGGGGGGCAUGCCUGUUCGAGCGUCAUUUCACCACUCAAGCCUCGCUUGGUAUUGGGCAACGCGGUCCGCCGCGUGCCUCAAAUCGACCGGCUGGGUCUUCUGUCCCCUAAGCGUUGUGGAAACUAUUCGCUAAAGGGUGUUCGGGAGGCUACGCCGUAAAACAACCCCAUUUCUAAGGUUGACCUCGGAUCAGGUAGGGAUACCCGCUGAACUUAAGCAUAUCAAUAAGCGGAGGA